GGAAUAUUGCACAAUGGGGGAAACCCUGAUGCAGCGACGCCGCGUGAGUGAAGAAGUAUUUCGGUAUGUAAAGCUCUAUCAGCAGGGAAGAAAAUGACGGUACCUGACUAAGAAGCCCCGGCUAACUACGUGCCAGCAGCCGCGGUAAUACGUAGGUGGCGAGCGUUAUCCGGAUUUACUGGGUGUAAAGGGCGCGUAGGCGGGGGUGCAAGUCAGAUGUGAAAUCUAUGGGCUUAACUCAUAAACUGCAUUUGAAACUGUACUUCUUGAGUACUGGAGAGGUAGACGGAAUUCCUUGUGUAGCGGUGAAAUGCGUAGAUAUAAGGAAGAACACCAGUGGCGAAGGCGGUCUACUGGACAGCAACUGACGCUGAGGCGCGAAAGCGUGGGGAGCAAACA
rnacentral:rRNA from 1 species